rnacentral:rRNA from 1 species
UACGUAGGGUGCGAGCGUUGUCCGGAAUUACUGGGCGUAAAGAGCUCGUAGGUGGUUUGUCGCGUUGUUCGUGAAAACCGGGGGCUUAACCCUCGGCGUGCGGGCGAUACGGGCAGACGUUGAGUACUGCAGGGGAGACUGGGAAUUCCUGGUGUAGGUGGUGAAAUGGCGCAGAUAUCAGGAGGAACACCGGUGGCGAAGGCGGACUCCUCGUGGGCCUUACCGUCGAC